rnacentral:rRNA from 1 species
UACGUAGGGGGCAAGCGUUGUCCGGAAUCAUUGGGCGUAAAGAGCGUGUAGGCGGCCCGAUAAGUCCGCUGUGAAAGUCCAGGGCUCAACCCUGGAAUGCCGGUGGAUACUGUCGGGCUCGAGUUCGGAAGAGGUGAGUGGAAUUCCUGGUGUAGCGGUGAAAUGCGCAGAUAUCAGGAGGAACACCGGUGGCGAAGGCGGGUCUCUGGGCCGAUACUGACGCUGAGGAGCGAAAGCGUGGGGAGCGAACAGG